UACGUAGGGUGCAAGCGUUGUCCGGAAUUAUUGGGCGUAAAGAGCUCGUAGGCGGUCUGUCGCGUCUGCUGUGAAAACUCAGGGCUUAACCCUGAGCUUGCAGUGGGUACGGGCAGACUAGAGUGCGGUAGGGGAGACUGGAAUUCCUGGUGUAGCGGUGAAAUGCGCAGAUAUCAGGAGGAACACCGGUGGCGAAGGCGGGUCUCUGGGCCGUAACUGACGCUGGAGGAGCGAAAGCAUGGGAGCGAACAGG
rnacentral:rRNA from 1 species